CGACGACCGGCGGAUGGGUGCGUAACGCGUAUGCAACUUGCCUCACAGCGGAGAAUAACCCGGAGAAAUCCGGACUAAUGCUCCAUACACUCUCGGGAACACAUGUUCCUGGGAGGAAAGAUUUAUCGCUGUGAGAUAGGCAUGCGUCCUAUUAGGUAGUUGGUGAGGUAACGGCUCACCAAGCCGACGAUAGGUAGGGGUGCUGAGAGGCAGAUCCCCCACAUUGGGACUGAGACACGGCCCAAACUCC
rnacentral:rRNA from 1 species